ACAGGCGCUCACUCGUUAAAGGGGAAGGUGUACCAGAGUCACAUGAUCGACAUCCAGGUCACCAACAGCAAGCUGUACCACCGAGCAACGCGCUUACUGCAGAAACUGUCUGGCUGUCCGGAGGCUCAGUGUGAGGAGGCCCUCUUGAAGGCAAUAUACCGCUUAGACAAGCUGACGUCAACCAUCACCUCCUCCCCGACCUCACCACACACACACUCGCAGCAAGCACUCGCUGCAAGGUGGUCCCCCUGGCUUUGGUUACUUUGCUGACUGGUUGCUCUCUCUCGGAGGCAGCAUCUCACCUGAAACGUCACCCGGUGGUGCGCGAUGCUGUGGAGGCGGUGCCUCUCAUAAACGACU